rnacentral:rRNA from 1 species
CAGGGGGAUAAUCCGGAGAAAUCUGGUCUAAUACCCCAUAUAUAUGAACCGGCAUCGGUUUAUGUUGAAAUUUUCGGAGGUUAUGGAUGGGCAUGCGUGACAUUAGCUAGAUGGUGAGGUAACGGCUCACCAUGGCAACGAUGUCUAGGGGGACUGAGAGGUUAACCCCCCCACACUGGUACUGAGACACGGACCAGACUCCUACGGGAGGCAGCAGUGAGGAAUAUUGGUCAAUGGACGGAAGUCUGAACCAGCCAUGCCGCGUGCAGGAUGACGGCUCUACGAGUUGUAAACUGCUUUUGUAUGAGGGUAAAGUGAGGUACGUGUACCUUUUUGAAAGUAUCAUACGAAUAAGGAUCGGCUAACUCCGUGCCAGCAGCCGCGGUAAUACGGAGGAUCCAAGCGUUAUCCGGAUUUAUUGGGUUUAAAGGGUGCGCAGGCGGCUCGGUAAGUUAGAGGUGAAAUUUCGGUGCUUAACAUCGAAACUGCCUCUGAUACUGCCAGGCUAGAGACCAGUUGCAGAAGGCGGAAUGUGUAGUGUAGCGGUGAAAUGCUUAGAUAUUACACAGAACACCGAUUGCGAAGGCAGCUUUCUAAGCUGGAUCUGACGCUGAGGCACGAAAGCGUGGGGAGCGAACAGGAUUAGAUACCCUGGUAGUCCACGCUGUAAACGAUGAUAACUCGUUGUCGGCGAUACAUAGUCGGUGACUAAGCGAAAGCGAUAAGUUAUCCACCUGGGGAGUACGUUCGCAAGAAUGAAACUCAAAGGAAUCGACGG